rnacentral:rRNA from 1 species
UACGGGGGGGGCAAGCGUUGUUCGGAAUUACUGGGCGUAAAGGGCUCGUAGGCGGCCAACUAAGUCAGACGUGAAAUCCCUCGGCUUAACCGGGGAACUGCGUCUGAUACUGGAUGGCUGGAGUUUGGGAGAGGGAUGCGGAAUUCCAGGUGUAGCGGUGAAAUGCGUAGAUAUCUGGAGGAACACCGGUGGCGAAGGCGGGUUGCUGGGCCGACACUGACGCUGAUGCGCGAAAGCCAGGGGAGCGAACGGG